AAAGAAGAAGAAGAAGAAGAAGAAGAAGAAGAAGAAGAAGAAGAAGAAGAAGAAGAAGAACAACAACAACAGAUGAGGGGAAUUUCGAGAGACGACACAAAGCCUGUUGCUCCACCAGCUUCGCUUUCAUUUGAGUGACGACGACAGAAGGGUCAACUUCUAGGAAGAGACAACCAUUGCGCUUUCACAAAUACUUUUACUUCAACAAAUUUGAGCAUUUUUAAAGAUCUAUUCGUAAGUUAUCGUCUCGUGAUACAUUUUAGAAGGCGACUAUCUCGACAUACAUCGUUUAUAUCGACGUUAUCAGAACAAAGGAUUCAAGCCACAGUCGACCUGCCUGUGCCAGAAAUCGAAAGAAUGGCCAAGGGAAACGACUCACUCUCUGAAAUGGCCCACGCUCGUCAGAGUGAUGGCAUCAGUGUAAUCUUUGACCAGAAAAGCCCUGCCUCAUCUCGCUCUCGCUCCCGAUCCAAAAGCAGCCGUGGCAGCGGCCACUCCUCUGGCUCUGGCCGCUACAGGGGACGUGGGAGCCACAGGGGCCGUUACAAGUCUCCAUCACCUUCUUCAUCUUCUAAAACCUCGUCUUCAUCCAGCAGCAGGUCCCGCUCUCACCCUAGGUCCCGCUCUCACCCUCGUUGCCACAGACAUUCUUCCCGCUGUCGCUGUGAUAACCAUCACAGGUAUGGCCGUGGCCGCUACCACCGCUCCCCGAAACGCCCCUACAGGGCCCACUCUCGCUCCUACAGCCGCUCGCCUUCUCCAGACAGGUACUCGCGUCACAGACACUCCAGGUCCCGCUCCAGGUCUUCUAGCCGUUGGAGCAGGUACAGGAGGGCUGCGAGCCGGUUUAGAUGCAGGUUUCCCCGAUCCCCAUCCAGAACCCACAGAAGCUGCUCAAAGACCAUAUCUUCAGGACGCUCUGUCAGUUUGAGUUUGGAUGAUAAAAGAGAACUCCUCAAAGCUGCAAAGGCCAAUGCUAUGAAGAUCCUAGGAGUGGAGAAGCUGGAACUUCCUGAGAGUGUGAAACCAAUCCUGUCAGAGCCAUCGAUGGAGUCCAAAUGGGUGUCGCCAGAGACAAGGGUGAGACAAGACCCUGAAAAGACUCAGUCACAGGUGGGUGUCUUGAGAGUGAAUGUCAGCUUCACAUGGAACACACCACACACUAAAGAUAAGGCUUCGUCACAGAUUCUAAUUCAAGUUAUUUUUUUCUAUCAUGGACUAGAUAUAAAUACAAGGUAAAGGGUGUUAAGAAUUUUAGGGAUAGCUAAUAGUUUUUCAUACCACUUGUGCAUAACAGUGCACUGACCAUUAAUGGACACACAUCUUUGACUGUACAGGAAGAAUUAUUAUAUUAUAAAAGUUGAUCCUAGCUGUCACACGAUUUUCUCAAAGUUGCAACAAAUAUACAGUAUAUCAAGCACGGUGUAAUGUCUACAGUUGUCUAUUGAUAAGCGUGAGGUCUAUAUGUUGUGUUGAAUUUCCUGUGUCUUGUGUUAACCUUUGGACCCCUGAGGGAACACACAUACUCUCUGUAUUUAUUCCUGUCUUCAUAGAUAACAUGACAGUGGUCUCCUUCACUCAUCGGCACCUGGGAUUAAAGGGCUGUCAUGUGACUUGGGUGACGACAAUAUGUGUUUGUGUGAAAGUUGAAAUGGGUCGUUAUAUAACAGAAUCCUCCACUCGCUGAUGGAGCGCAGGCGUGUGGACUGCGUUAUAGUGACUAUUCCUGUCAAGAGAACUAAAAACAGACGAAGAACUCCUCUCCGUAUGUCAAAGAUAAGUUGGUACAUGAGCCGUGUGCUGAGGGGCUGGGAAACCUACGUCACCAUCAUUCUGCCACUGUAGACAGAGAAGACAUCCUUUUUACUUUGAUAUUUUGUUUGUAUUUUUUUGUUUUAUUCUGUUUCAAGGUCUGUCCUUGAAGCAUUCAUUUAAUGGUCAAGCCUAGCCUUUGACAGCAGGGGGGUGUGUGUGCAUGAGAGCUGCAGUUUGUUGAAGCUAACACUUAAAUAAUUAUCUAUGCAAUAGAAGUGCUUUACAGUAUUAGUAAUGGAAGCUAUAAUCCAGCUAUAUGACCUUCACAAACUGUCAAAGCUCACUCUACCAUCAGUUUCACACGCAUAUCUAACUAGGUCUGUUUCUUUUUUCAGAACAGUGAGGUGGAGCCUGAUGAUAUGUCCUGCUCAACGAUGU